GAUGAACGCUGGCGGCGUGCCUAAUACAUGCAAGUCGAGCGAACAGACGAGGAUCUUGCUCCUCUUACGUUAGCGGCGGACGGGUAAUUAACACGUGGAUAACCUACCUAUAAGACUGGGAUAACUUCGGGAAACCGGAUCUAAUACCGGAUAAUAUAUUGAACCGCAUGGUUCAAUAGUGAAAGACGGUUUUGCUGUCACUAAUAGAUGGAUCCGCGCCGCAUUAGCUAGUUGGUAAGGUAACGGCUUACCAAGGCAACGAUGCGUAGCCGACCUGAGAGGGUGAUCGGCCACACUGGAACUGAGACACGGUCCAGACUCCUACGGGAGGCAGCAGUAGGGAAUCUUCCGCAAUGGGCGAAAGCUUGACGGAGCAACGCCGCGUGAGUGAUGAAGGUCUUCGGAUCGUAAAACUCUGUUAUUAGGGAAGAACAAAUGUGUAAGUAACUAUGCACGUCUUGACGGUACCUAAUCAGAAAGCCACGGCUAACUACGUG
rnacentral:rRNA from 1 species